AAAGUCGUAACAAGGUUUCCGUAGGUGAACCUGCGGAAGGAUCAUUACAAAUCCAUCCACGUCUCAUACCCGAGACCACGUUGAAAUGUUCCCCAGACCAAGGUGCGCGCCGUUCCCAUGCUUUCAGGCUCCUCGGGGCCUGCCUGCUGGGACGGUGUCAAGCCCUGGCCUGGGCUGUUAAACUAGUGUUACGUUGUUGCUCAAAUGUAUCUUGAUUUCAAUCAAAUGAAAACUUGUACAACUUAUAACAAUGGAUCUCUAGGCUCUU
rnacentral:misc_RNA from 1 species